rnacentral:rRNA from 1 species
UACGUAGGGCGCAAGCGUUAUCCGGAAUUAUUGGGCGUAAAGGGCUCGUAGGCGGUUUGUCGCGUCGGGAGUGAAAACCAGGUGCUUAACACCUGGCUUGCUUUCGAUACGGGCAGACUAGAGGUAUGCAGGGGAGAACGGAAUUCCUGGUGUAGCGGUGAAAUGCGCAGAUAUCAGGAGGAACACCGGUGGCGAAGGCGGUUCUCUGGGCAUGACCUGACGCUGAGGAGCGAAAGUGUGGGGAGCGAACAGG